GUAGAUAUUAGGAGGAACACCAGAGGCGAAGGCGGCUUACUGGACAUAUACUGACGCUGAGGGACGAAAGUGUGGGGAGCGAACGGGAUUAGAUACCCCGGUAGUCCACACCGUAAACGAUGAGAGCUAGUUGUCUGCAAGUUUACUUGUAGGUGACGCAGUUAACGCAUUAAGCUCUCCGCCUGGGGAGUACGGCCGCAAGGCUAAAACUCAAAGAAAUUGACGGGGGCCCGCACAAGCGGUGGAGCAUGUGGUUUAAUUCGAAGCAACGCGAAGAACCUUACCACCCCUUGACAUACUUGUCGCGGAAUAGAGAGAUCUUUUCCUUCAGUUAGGCUGGACGAUGUACAGGUGCUGCACGGCUGUCGUCAGCUCGUGUCGUGAGAUGUUGGGUUAAGUCCCGCAACGAGCGCAACCCUCACUGUUAGUUGCCAGCAUUUAGUUGGGCACUCUAGCGGAACUGCCGGUGCUAAGCCGGAGGAAGGUGGGGACGACGUCAAGUCAUCAUGGCCCUUACGGGGUGGGCUACACACGUGCUACAAUGGCGAUGACAGAGGGUUAAUCCCUAAAAGUCGUCUCAGUUCGGAUUGUCUUCUGCAACUCGAAGACAUGAAGUUGGAAUCGCUAGUAAUCGCAGGUCAGCAUACUGCGGUGAAUACGUUCCCGGGCCU
rnacentral:rRNA from 1 species